AGUGAACGCUGGCGGUAGGCCUAACACAUGCAAGUCGAACGGCAGCACAGUAAGAGCUUGCUCUUACGGGUGGCGAGUGGCGGACGGGUGAGGAAUACAUCGGAAUUUACUUUUUCGUGGGGGAUAACGUAGGGAAACUUACGCUAAUACCGCAUACGACCUACGGGUGAAAGCAGGGGAUCUUCGGCCCUUGCGCGAUUGAAUGAGCCGAUGUCGGAUUAGCUAGUUGGCGGGGUAAAGGCCCACCAAGGCGACGAUCCGUAGCUGGUCUGAGAGGAUGAUCAGCCACACUGGAACUGAGACACGGUCCAGACUCCUACGGGAGGCAGCAGUGGGGAAUAUUGGACAAUGGGCGCAAGCCUGAUCCAGCCAUACCGCGUGGGUGAAGAAGGCCUUCGGGUUGUAAAGCCCUUUUGUUGGGAAAGAAAAGCAGCAGGUUAAUACCCCGCUGUUCUGACGGUACCCAAAGAAUAAGCACCGGCUAACUUCGUG
rnacentral:rRNA from 1 species